rnacentral:rRNA from 1 species
GGAAUAUUGCCCAAUGCGCGAAAGCGUGAGGCAGCAACGCCGCGUGCGCGAUGAAGGCCUUCGGGUCGUGAAGCGCUUUUCGGUGGGAUGAGGAAGGCCAGUACCACCGGAAUAAGGGACGGCUAACUACGUGCCAGCAGCCGCGGUAAAACGUAGGGCCCGAGCGUUACCCGGAUUUACUGGGCGUACAGGGCGUUCAGGCGGUGGGCUAAGUCAGGCAUGAAAUCUCACGGCUCAACCGAGAGAGGCUGUCUGAGACUGGCACACUUGAGGGCAGUCGAGGGUGGUGGAAUUCCGGGUGUAGUGGUGAAAUGCGUAGAGAUCCGGAGGAACACCAGUGGCGAAAGCGGCCACCUGGGCUGUACCUGACGCUGACACGCGAAAGCUAGGGGAGCGA